UGCACAGUGGCUCCCUGCCCUGUAUGUCCAACUGCUUCCCUUCAGACCCCAUAAUAAACGUUAAAAAGAAAAAGACAGCAUGGAGUGCUCAGACCCCAUAAUAAAUGUUCAAGAGACAAUGACAUGGAGUGCUCACAUAGUACACAUAGACUACAUAGAGUGUUCACAUAGUGCACAUAGAUAAUGACACAGAGUGCUCACAUAACACACAUAGACAACAUAGAGUGCUCACAAAACACACUUGUUACUUCACACAUUUCUGUGACAAAACAGACAGACAGAGAAUGAAACAAAACCAGCUUCACAGGGGGAUGGGUUAUUUCCUGUUUCAGUAGAUUCAUUCCCUCAAUACACAGAAGGCACGGCAGUAGAAACUUAGGGCAGCCAGUCAUAGAACGUCAAAGUCAGGAAGCAGAGAGUGAUGGACGCUGGUGCUCAGCUCAUUUUGACCUGUUUGUUCAGCCCUGGAACUCAGCCCAAUAAAUGGUGUACUCUGUACUUAGGGUGGGUCUCUCGCCCUCAAUUUACCCAACCCAGAAACUUCAUCACAGGCGUCACCAGAUGUUAGUUUCCAUGGCAACCAUAAAGUCCAUCAAAUCAAAACCCAAGACCAAUCAUCACAUCUAACAGGUACAAAGCCUCACUAGAUUUCAAUCCUGAAAAGGGGAAAUUAGUAAAAACUUAUUUGAUAUCAAAAUAUUCUGGACAAAACUCACAACUGAAACGUCAGACAUCUGUAAUUUUUUUUUCCUGUGCCUUCCUUACCACCACCAAAUCCCCUGUCCAAAAACAUGAGAGCAUGUGACAUAAAACAUUUAUUUUUUACAAUGUGGUUGGUAUGUUUGAAACAAAAACAUUUAUAUUUGGUUGGCCCUUGUCAACAAUAAAUUAAAUGCAACACACAACAGAUUUGCUAGAAUAGCCAUUUUAAGAUGGAUAGAUCAUCAAAUCCGUUUCAAACAGCCGGGAAACUCUUGUAAAUCCAAGUGGUUGCAGCUGUUCUGGAUUCCCCUAGGGAGGACGAAAGGCAUGGAAUACAGGGCCAACAGGCAUCUUGAGGACACUGCUUCUUUCCAGAGACUGACUAUUGCAGUAAAUGUGGAAUGAACCAACUGAACUUGUACAUCCAUUCGGACCAAGAACCAGGCCCCUAUGUAACUUGAACAAAGUUCUAGCUAUAUUAUAUUUCCUACGAGGGGGAUGCAUGUAACUCCCCACACCCACCCUGCACACACACACACACACACACACACACACACACACACACACACACGAGAGAGAGAG
rnacentral:lncRNA from 1 species